rnacentral:tRNA from 1 species
GCCGAAGUGGUGGAAUUGGCAGACGCGCUAGAUUCAGGGUCUAGUGGGCAUCUCGCCCGUGCAGGUUCAAGUCCUGUCUUCGGCACCA